GGCAGGCCUAACACAUGCAAGUCGAGCGCACCCUUCGGGGCGAGCGGCGGACGGGUUAGUAACGCGUGGGAACAUACCCUUUUCUACGGAAUAGCCUCGGGAAACUGAGAGUAAUACCGUAUAAGCCCUUCGGGGGAAAGAUUUAUCGGGAAAGGAUUGGCCCGCGUUAGAUUAGAUAGUUGGUGGGGUAAUGGCCUACCAAGUCUACGAUCUAUAGCUGGUUUUAGAGGAUGAUCAGCAACACUGGGACUGAGACACGGCCCAGACUCCUACGGGAGGCAGCAGUGGGGAAUCUUAGACAAUGGGCGCAAGCCUGAUCUAGCCAUGCCGCGUGUGUGAUGAAGGCCUUAGGGUCGUAAAGCACUUUCGCCAGAGAUGAUAAUGACAGUAUCUGGUAAAGAAACCCCGGCUAACUCCGUGCCAGCAGCCGCGGUAAUACGGAGGGGGUUAGCGUUGUUCGGAAUUACUGGGCGUAAAGCGUACGUAGGCGGAUCAGAAAGUAUAGGGUGAAAUCCCGAGGCUCAACCUCGGAACUGCCUUGUAAACUCCUGGUCUUGAGUUCGAGAGAGGUGAGUGGAAUUCCAAGUGUAGAGGUGAAAUUCGUAGAUAUUUGGAGGAACACCAGUGGCGAAGGCGGCUCACUGGCUCGAUACUGACGCUGAGGUACGAAAGUGUGGGGAGCAAACAGGAUUAGAUACCCUGGUAGUCCACACCGUAAACGAUGAAUGCCAGUCGUCGGGCAGUAUACUGUUCGGUGACACACCUAACGGAUUAAGCAUUCCGCCUGGGGAGUACGGUCGCAAGAUUAAAACUCAAAGGAAUUGACGGGGGCCCG
rnacentral:rRNA from 1 species